UACGGGGGGAGCAAGCGUUGUUCGGAUUUACUGGGCGUAAAGGGCGCGUAGGCGGCCACCGCAAGUCGACUGUGAAAUCUCCGGGCUUAACUCGGAAAGGUCAGCCGAUACUGCGGGGCUAGAGUGCAGAAGGGGCAACUGGAAUUCUCGGUGUAGCGGUGAAAUGCGUAGAUAUCGAGAGGAACACCGGUGGCGAAGGCGGCCAACUGGACAGAUACUGACGCUGAGACACGAAAGCGUGGGGAGCAAACAGG
rnacentral:rRNA from 1 species